UGAAAAAUAAUAAUAAAUUUGAAUUUCAAUAGUUGUUUUAUUGUAUCAAUGAUUUGACUUUUGAGUAAAUUUUUUGCUAAUUUUGAUGUUCUCCACAUUCACCAACUUUGGGCAGUUCUGGACAAAAAACUAAUGCAGAUAGAAUCCUAAUACUUUAGGAAAAUAAUGUAUAGAUAGUUGGUAACAAACUGUGAAAUUUUCAUUCAAAUCAGACAACAUGCCAUUUUUGAAUUUCAGCCACGGAAAUCACUAUGUGCACCGUCUUGUAGGGUACUGUUCAUCGGACUUUAAAAUUUUUGUAAAGAUUAAAUGCUAGCACAACACCAUAAUUACCACAAUUGUAGCAAAAAAAAGCGUAGCACACAACACAAAUACGCCUCGGUGGUGUGUAAAAUGAUGUAAAAUAAUGUAAGCAAACCAGUGGUUUUCUACUGUAUAUACUGAGUACUAAUAUAUAAAAUAACAAAAAUUAAACUGGUGGUGCAUAUGGGCAUUUCCGUCGAACGUGACGUGACAAUCGUACACAUUUGAACUAAAAAAAAAUUAUGAGCUAAAAUAUUUUUUAAAUUUGACAGUAAGAUUUUUUAAUAGCUCUUUAUUCUUUAGUGUUAAAGUUGAUUUUUCAACGAUUUUCAUUUUCAAUAUAAUUUCAAAAAAUUUUUGGCAUACGCACGGGACAAAAAAUGGAAGUUGAUUUUCCAGACUACGAUUCAAACGCCGAUUUCAGCGAGGUAAUAUUCAAAUGUUUUUGAUUGUAGAACGUUGUGCAUGGAUGCCUUUAAAAUUGGUAUGAAUUUCUCCCAAAAAUAAUUUAUAGUUUUUUAAUUAAAUAUUAACCACAUUCGCACUGGACAUUUUUUCCAUCAUAAUAUUUAUGUUGAUUUUGAUUUUAUAAUUCGGUCCAAUGUUAAAUAAGUCCAAUAAGAUCGUGUAAAAAAAGUAGUAAAUGUAUUUAUUUUUAAAUAACCUCAAACGAGAAGCACCACAAAAUUUUUCUAUAGUAUUUAAUGAAAAUAGUAUUAUGGAUACGAAGCAGCUUUUACUUCUUGACAAUCGCAAGAAAAGAAAUGAAAGUCGGAAUGCAUUUAACCAAUUUUUAUCUAAAUUUUAUAAUAAGGAAUGAUUUUCUCAGAUUGGCAUAAAAUUCAUAUCAACUAUCGCUCUACUAUUUUGUGCACAUUGAUAAAAUGAAAAUGCAUCGGGCAUAAAAAAAUGUUUGAAUUUUUUUAUGUGGCGGACUUUCCCUUUGAUAAAAAAAUUCCAUUCUAAUGAAGCAAACGAUUUUCUCCUGACAACCUUGUUAAAAUGAGCACUCUUAUUUUGAUUUCUAAUACGCUAGACAGACGACAAAGCUAUUCCCGAUUAAAUGGGAGUUAGCAAACGGAGUUAACUGAGAUAACUCUCGAAUUAACCCCUAUUAAAUGUUGCCAACGAAAAUGCCACGAACUCCCACUAACUCUCUAAAAUUUUGAGGAUUAAAUGGGAGUUAGCAAACGGAGUUAACUGAGAUAACUCUCGAAUUAACCCCGAUUAAAGCAGUUAUUCCGAAAUAACGCCGCCGUCUGUCAGGGGUAUAAGCCUAUAAAUUUCGCCAAAAUCUAUUUGAAUAGCUAGUUCAAUGGAAUUUAAAGCGCUGUUUUUGUUCGUAUGUAAAUAAAUAAUGUAAAAGUAUCUAUUUACAAACUUAAGUCAAUUUUAUAAGACAAAAACUAAUUUUCAAUUUUAAAUUCCACACCUACGUUGUCGCACGUGACUUACUUUCAGUAGUUACCAAAAUCACAAAUCUUCAGAUUUUUGAACAAGCCUUUUUAUACUCUCGCAACAAAGUUGCGAAAGAGAGUAUAAUAGUUUUGUUCACAUAACGGUUGUUUGUAACACCUAAAACAAAACGAGUUAGAUAUAGUGUUCUAUAUAGUAUACCAAAGUGAUCAGGGUGACGAGUAGAUUUCAAAUCCGGAUCAGUCCGUCUGUGCAAGCGAUAAUUUGAGUAAAAAUGGAGAUAUCUUAAUGAAUGGUACAUAUAUUCCUUGGCACCAUGAGACGGUUGGUAUUGAAAAUGGGAGUGGGCGUGGUCCCGCCCCCUAAUAGGUUUUUUGUAUAUAUCUCGCAAACCAAUAAAGCUAUAUAAACCAAACUUUCUGCAGUCGAUUCCCAUAUGUACUCCACCACACACCAUGAAAAUAGCUGAAAUCGGAUAAUAACCAGGCCCACCUCCCAUACAUAGUUUAGACUGAAAAUUGGUAAAAAAUACGUUACCUCCCUAACGAAAAAUAUCAGAAACACUAAAUUUUACAGAAGAAAUGGCGGAAGGAAGAUUUUUCAGCGUCGCCCACUUAUGGGUCAUAAACCAUAUCGCAGGAACUACCAAUUUUAUUAGGACCAAUUUUAUUGAAAUUCGGUACGUAAUAUUUUCUUAACAGUCUGGUGAUACGGAAUAUGGGCGAAAUCGGUUCACAACUUCGCCUACUUCACAUAUAACUAGAUUUUGAAUUACAUCUGAUUUCUUCACUUUAUAAUAUAUACAUUAGGAACCAAUGAAGUCCGCUAUCUUCAAAAACUUUACACAAAUUCCGUAUAUCAUCUGUGGCUUAACUUGUGGAAAAAUUGUCGAAAUCGCACUAUAACUUUUCAAGGCCCAGGAUAUCGAACAUGAAGAACUCACUGCCUAAGGGUAAUUUUUCACCGACUCUAAAUCUCUCAGAUAUUUUAAUUUAAUUUAGAGGGAAUCUUUUUUUUAUAAUUGUGUGUUUCUGUACCAAAAAUGAUUAAAAUCGGGUUAUAACUUCCCUUAGCUCCCAUAUACCUUAUAUUGGGAUCAUCAAAUUUCCGAUUCCGAAUCGACUAAAAUGUGAAAUAUCUUAGCCAAAUUAACAGCCCUAUUCUGUGUACUUCACAAAAUCAAAGUGUAUUCAACAAAGUGAACCAGGUAUAUGACAUAUCACAAUUUUUUACCCGAAUGUGACAUGUUUGUUGCCAUUGAUUUAACCCAUACAUUUAUUCAAAAAUUCAAAUUUUGAAAUUCAAAAGUAAACAAAUUUCAAACCAAAAAAAAAUAUUUUUUAAAUGAAUAAAAGAAAAUGCCGAAUACUUUCUGCUUAGGCAAAACAACUCACGGAAGCAAUUUACUAAGGUUUUGUGCUCCAACUGACAAAUUGCAAACAAUUUUAUCAAUAUAUAUUAUAUUGUUAAAGUUAAAAAAGACAGGUUAAUGUAAACAAAUACAUGUAUUGUUUACUAUUUUAUUGUCAAAAGCGGGUAUGUCAAAUACUUAGUUCACUUUGUUGAAUACACUUUGGACAAAAUAACAAAAAUUUGAAAAUAUUUUCAGAUUUUUAUCAAGUAAGAAAUUUUUUGGUAUUCUGUGACAAUUUUGAUAAAAUAAAAAAGCUUCAGUACGCAUAGCUUUUCCCCACACGUGUGGGAAACAAAAUAAUGUAAACAGAAACAGCUGAUUUCUGUCCAAUUAUAUUGAAUUGAAUUGAAAAAUUUAUUUGAAUUAUUCUAUAAAAAUAAAUUAUUCGCUCUUGGUCUAAACGUGAAGUUUCUGAGAGUGCGCAAAUAUUCCAUGCUCCGAAUCUGGCCCUAUUUUUCAUGCAUAAGAUCGUUAUUUGGAUGAGUGUUUGUUUUAACAGAGCCUUCUUCAUUGUGGCUUCGUUAAUAAGUUUGGUUUACGAUUGACCGGUUAUCAGCCUAUCUAUCCGAUUCUGAUAUCGAGAUAUCGACUGAAGCCUCCCAGACCUGAUGCAAAGUAUUUGGUUUGGUUUUACAACCCUAUUUAUUCUAUAUAGAUGAUAAGGUUAUACCGUCUU